CGUAGGGGGCAAGCGUUGUCCGGAUUUAUUGGGCGUAAAGCGCUCGCAGGUGGUUUGUCGCGUCGUGCGUGAAAGACCCCGGCUCAACUGGGGGGCGUCGUGCGAUACGGGCAAACUGGAGGCCAGUAGGGGGAUGCGGAAUUCCGGGUGUAGUGGUGGAAUGCGUAGAGAUCCGGAGGAACACCAGCGGCGAAGGCGGCAUCCUGGACUGGUCCUGACACUCAGGAGCGAAAGCGUGGGGAGCGAUCCGGAUUAGAUACCCGGGUAGUCCACGCCGUAAACGAUGAGCACUAGGUGUCGGGGGUAUCGACCCCCUCGGUGCCGCAGCCAACGCGAUAAGUGCUCCGCCUGGGGACUACGGCCGCAAGGCUA
rnacentral:rRNA from 1 species